rnacentral:rRNA from 1 species
UACGGAGGGGGCAAUGUUGUUCGGAAUCACUGGGCGUAAAGGGAGCGUAGGCGGGUUCUAAGUCAGGUGUUUAAUCCCGGGGCCCAACCCCGGACAGGCACUUGAACUGGGAAUCUUGAAUAGUGGAGAGGUCAGUGGAAUUGGGGGUGAGCGGUGGAAUGGCGUAGAGAUCCCCAAGAACACCAGUUGCGAAGGCGGCUGAACUGGACACAUAUUGACGCUGAGACACGAAGGCCG